CGUAUGGUGCAAGCGUUAUCCGGAUUUACUGGGUGUAAAGGGAGCGUAGACGGAUAGGCAAGUCCGGAGUGAAAGCCCGGGGCUCAACCCCGGGACUGCUUUGGAAACUGUUUAUCUAGAGUGCUGGAGAGGCAAGUGGAAUUCCUAGUGUAGCGGUGAAAUGCGUAGAUAUUAGGAGGAACACCAGUGGCGAAGGCGGCUUGCUGGACAGUAACUGACGUUGAGGCUCGAAAGCGUGGGGAGCAAACAGGAUUAGAUACCCUGGUAGUCCACGCCGUAAACGAUGACUGCUAGGUGUCGGGUGGCAAAGCCAUUCGGUGCCGCAGCUAACGCAAUAAGCAGUCCACCUGGGGAGUACGUUCGCAAGAAUG
rnacentral:rRNA from 1 species